GGCGAACGCUGGCGGCAGGCCUAGCACAUGCAAGUCGAACGAACCCUUCGGGGUUAGUGGCGGACGGGUGAGUAACACGUGGGAACGUGCCUUUAGGUUCGGAAUAACUCAGGGAAACUUGUGCUAAUACCGAAUGUGCCCUUCGGGGGAAAGAUUUAUCGCCUUUAGAGCGGCCCGCGUCUGAUUAGCUAGUUGGUGAGGUAAUGGCUCACCAAGGCUACGAUCAGUAGCUGGUCUGAGAGGAUGACCAGCCACAUUGGGACUGAGACACGGCCCAAACUCCUACGGGAGGCAGCAGUGGGGAAUCUUGCGCAAUGGGCGAAAGCCUGACGCAGCCAUGCCGCGUGGAUGAUGAAGGUCUUAGGAUUGUAAAAUCCUUUCACCGGUGAAGAUAAUGACUGUAGCCGGAGAAGAAGCCCCGGCUAACUUCGUGCCAGCCGCCGCGGUAAAAC
rnacentral:rRNA from 1 species